rnacentral:rRNA from 1 species
GACGUAGGGCGCGAGCGUUGUCCGGAUUUAUUGGGCGUAAAGAGCUCGUAGGCGGCUUGUCGCGUCGAAUGUGAAAACCCACGGCUCAACUGUGGGCUUGCAGUCGAUACGGGCAGGCUAGAGUUCGGCAGGGGAGACGUGGAAUUCCUGGUGUAGCGGUGGAAAUGCGCAGAUAUCAGGAGGAACACCGGUGGCGAAGGCGGGUCUCUGGGCCAGUAACUGACGCUGAGACGAGAAGCGUGGGGAGCGAACAGG